CUGCAGAUAUUAUCCAAUUUAUCACCUCUAUAUAGACAUUAGUAAUGUGUAUCCUCCCGUCAUUUAUAUUUUUCCACCAAUUAAAUACCGUCAUAUAUAUAUAUAUAUAUAUAUAUAUAUUAGUUUGUAAAAUAUUAUAAUCUUGGUUUUAGAUCCUAGUGUGUUUAGCAGCCACAUUCUAAUCAUCCAUUAGGAGUAAGAUAAAAACUAACACGAGAAAUCAAAAUCAAAAUUUAGAAAUUCAUGCACAAUAGGGUCCGUUUAGAUUGACGAAUCUGUAGAUUCAACGUAAGUCAAGUGCAGUGGUGUUUGAGUUUUUCUGAAGUGUGAUUAUUUUUUGGUUGUUUGUUUUGACGUAACUCGUAUAGCCUGAAAGUUAAAUUCAAUUACUUUUUCUGUUUGUUUUGAUGUAACUUGGUGCUGGUGAAAUUAGUUUUGUAAGUUUCGUUGUUUGUUUUGAUGUAAGUAAGUGGAUUCCAUUAUCUCCUAAAUAUAAUAGUAAAUUUACUGCUAUAAAAUUUAACUUAUUAUAUAAUUAAAUUUUUUUAUUAUUAUUUAAAGAUAAUCCUAAUUUAUUAAAAAUAAGGUAAUUCUAAUCUAUUAUAAGGAAAGUAGAGUUUAGGUUUUACUGUUUAAUAAAUAUUUUAUAAGAGGUUCAGUAUGAUGGAAGUCGAGUUCGACACUUUAGAAAAGAAAGUCGAGAGUAGGUGAAGUGGAGGUCUAACGUAACUUGAGUUACAUUAUAUUUUUCACUUACACCAAAAUAAAUAACGGAAGUGAUGGAACUUGAGUUCCAUCACUCCACUUACACCAAAACAAACAUGCCCAAAUGUUACUGAAAUUACAGAAUGACAAAGUAAAAAUAUACUAUUAAACCAUACGGGUCAGUAAUUGAAUUUUGUUUUUCUUAAAUUUAUUGUAUUUUAAAAUUCAAUGGUAGAACAUUUCAUUUAAUGUGGAAAAAUGUAAUUAAUUUGGUAUUAAUGGUAGGUGUAAUCAGUGUAGAGAGAGAGAGAGAGAGAGAGAGAGAGAGAGAG
rnacentral:lncRNA from 1 species